CACAUAAAUUGCAAGAAAAAUAAAAAACUAGCUUUAAGAUUUCCACCCUCUUUAUAUAUUGUGCAAGUUUUUGUACCAACUUAUUAUUCCUCACCAAUAUUAUAGUUAUUAAAUUUUUUGUAGCUUCUUCAUAUUUUAAUUUUAGUCACAAGGACAAAAUGGAUGCACCUCCUAUGUACCAAGAGAUAAAUUACAUGGAACAUGUUCGCAAACGCCAUGAAGAAAAAGGGUGCCUUUAUGCUUGCUUCUUUGCCUUAUGUUGCUGCUUUUGUUGCUAUGAGACAUGUGAAUGUUGCUUGGAUGUGGCAUGUUGCUGCUGCUCCUAGAAGGAUAAAAAUAUAAUGGUAAAAAAAUAUAAUCAGUCAUAUGAUACAAAUUUAAUAGUGGUAUUUUGUAUGCAAAUUUCUAUGUAAUAAUCACAAACAAAGAUGUAACAUUUUCAGUAUGUUACUUUUUGACUUAUGGUCCUGAUUUCCUUUCUUUGUAAACAUACUUUAUUUAUGCUGAAGGAGGCAUAGGCCUAACUGGCCCCCUUUUUCACCUUGAAA